AGGGGCUACGGUGGCCAAGUGGUUAGCGCACUUGCCUUUCACCUCUGAGGCUGCAGGUUCGAAUCUCACUAAGUACCUUCUCAGUGCGACUCGAACCCAGUCCCCAUGUGAAAAGAGUAAAGUCAACGCUCUGCCGAACGCCGUGGGUUUUCCCCGGGUACUCCGGUUUCCUCCCACAGGGAAAAGUUGACAGGGUGGGUUAGGUAAAAAGGGCCCACAGUAAUUGGCAUAUGCUGUUGUGGUGACCCUGCCCUAGUUGGCGAAGCUAAUAAAAAAAAAAUAAAAAAUAAAAAUAUAUAACUCGAUGUCAACACGGGAAAUUUACCGCGCCUUGUAAACACGGAAAUCUUUCUUAUCCUUCGGGCUUUUGACAUUGCUAUAUUA